rnacentral:rRNA from 1 species
UCGCUACUACCGAUUGAAUGGCUUAGUGAGGCCUUCGGAGCGCCGGCGCGGGCAGCAAUGCCUGCGCUGGUGCAAAGUCGUACAAACUUGGUCAUUUAGAGGAAGUAA